rnacentral:rRNA from 1 species
UACGAAGGGGGCUAGCGUUGCUCGGAAUUACUGGGCGUAAAGGGCGCGUAGGCGGACAGUUUAGUCAGAGGUGAAAGCCCAGGGCUCAACCUUGGAAUUGCCUUUGAUGCUGGCUGUCUUGAGUUCGGGAGAGGUGAGUGGAAUGCCGAGUGUAGAGGUGAAAUUCGUAGAUAUUCGGCGGAACACCAGUGGCGAAGGCGACUCACUGGCCCGAUACUGACGCUGAGGCGCGAAAGCGUGGGGAGCAAACAGG